AUCUCUAACGCUGAUGUGUGGGUGCCACUUUCUCAUUGGUUAGAGAAUGGUUCAUUUCGGCAUCAAACUAGCUUCAAAUCCUAGAUUUUAUGAUGUGCCAUUGAACCAGAAUUAUGUGGCCAAGGGAUGUCCGACUCGUGGAUUCUUGGAAGCUUGGACCAAUAAAGUACGAAGCCAAGAAGCAACACUUAAUGGCAAAGAGUAGCAGCAAAUAGAAUCCAAAAAGAAAAAGGUGAAAGAGAAAAACUUCCCCCUUUCUGUCAAUGCUUGGUCAUGCAAGGUCAGAAGUUUUCCCUGGCAAGAAGUAUGAGAACUGGCAUUUUUGCCAAAGAUUAGUUCAUUUGUAGCCUUGGCAUCCAUAGUACCAUUGGUUAAUUGUGGCCAACACUAAAUGCCGUCUUUGCAAGUAAUUGUUUGUUCAUAAUUUAUGUUCCUGUUAUUUGGCUGCUUUUUAGAAGGAGCUUGAUGAAUAUAACAACUGAGCCACUUUCCAAGAUGGAGCUAAGGACUUUGGUUGCUAUACUUGUUGUCUGCUAGACUGCUACUGAAAUCCGGUAUCUAUGGUUGAUGUUUCUAUGUGAUAUUGACAUGAAAUCUGGUAUCUGUGGUUGAUGUUACCCUUUUGUGAUAUUGGCAUAUUCAAAGAUCCAUUGGAAAAUGCACUGGGUAAUUGCAGAAUUAUUCAAACUUAUACUUCACUCUCAUUACAUUUAUGGGGGCCACAAUGAAUUCCAGUCCCACCGAACUUUUUUCUUGAUCGCACCUUUAGGGGCUUAUGUCUGAACUUUGGUAGUGCUUUUUUAAUGUUUGUAUUGUAUUUCUUGUUUUGCAAAGCAUUGGUUGUUUGAAAAGCUGGGUUGUAUGAAACCAGGCCCAAAGAUGGAAAGAACUUGGCCUGAGAUGAACUUACGGAGGUGAAUCAUUGAAAGAUACCAUGCAUGACAGAGUCGUCCGGGCCAGCUUACAAGCACCUCGACUAAUCCUGGUCCAGUCAAAGGGAAGCCAUCCACGCUGGGACUUGGGUUUUCACUGGAAAUUACUUUCUUGCAGCUUGACUCCAAGAAUUGAACAUGGCUGUUUGUGUGGGGAGCAAACCCACCAACCAACCGGAUUAACCCUUGGGGCUUCUUUGUCUUUCAUUUACGGUAUAGUAUCUUCUAAGCUCUAUCCUGGAUGUACAUACUUAAAAAUGUAAUUGCUCAAACCUUGAUAAACUACCACAGUUUUUCUACGGGUGAAUGAAGAUUCAUCGAGAAACCAACCUAUUGAAACACUACUGUAUCUUACAAGAGGUGUAAUUUUGCACUUGUGGAUGCUUGUUUGAUCAGCCAGCCCCCAUUGUUCCAUAGAGUUGAGGAAGCUUGUUGAAGAUUUCAUGGCUCUACUAAACUGUAGACUCAAUUUUAUACAAUCAUUUUGCUGGGGACCAAUGCA